rnacentral:lncRNA from 1 species
AAACACAUGCACAGAGGCAGCAGCGAUCUGAAUUCAACCGUGAUGGGGUUCGGCACAAGAGCCUGACUCAACUCUUAAUUUCACUUUUCACCUGACAGAGCUGUUAAGCUGAAAUCCAGCCACUCUGCUAUAGAAAGGCCAAGAAACUUGGAAAGCCCAAGUGUGAAUGCUGCAAUAAACAGCUCCAGUUGAGCAACCAGUCAACAGAUGGCAUCAGUGCCAGCCAUGAAAAAGACAUCUGGUGGUCACUAAGAACAGGAAGGAGGUGGCACACCCAAAGAGAACUAUCAUGGAGUCUAAGCACAGCUUAG